AUGAACUUCUUCUUGUUGUGAUAACACAGUGACCAAAAGCAACUAGAGGAAGAACGGGCUUAUUUUAGCUUCUCUCCAUAAGGGACUAGAAAGGCCCUCUGGCAGUGUGAGUGAGGCGGAACUCAGGCAGGAACUUGAAGCAGAAACAAAUAGAAGAACGCUGCUUACUGGCUUGCUCAGCCACCUAUCUUUUUAACUAUGCUGGAGCAACACUCAGCAGUUCAGAGCACAUCCUGCUGUUGUAGAAGACCAGCAUCCAGUUCCAAGCACCCACCUCAGGCAACUGCAGCCACCUGUAACUCCAGUUCUAAGGGAGCUGAUACCCUGCUUUGGCCUCAACAGAGUGCCAAUCUUAGGAUAAAUGAUGGAAAUAAGAGCUGUGUCAAUAGGGGAUCACAGCAUCCCACACUUUAAUCCCAGCUCUUAGGAGGCAGAGCUGUCUCCAUCACGUUGCCCAGGAAGUGGAGAGAAGAAACUUAGGAAUUCAACUGUCUUCCCUGGAUCCCCCUUUUUAUUGCAUCUAGGCCCCCCAGACCACGGGUGGUGUCAUCCAUAUUCAAGAUGAGUCUUCCUGCUUCAGUUAAUCUUCGUGGGGACUGUUCUCAGAGAUACACCAUUGUGUAUUGGUGCGCCUCGCCAAUCUCCUGCAUGACCCUAAAUCCUGUGGAGCUGGCAAUGAAGACCAACCACUGGCACACUCAGGGAAGCACAGUAGCUUGCUAGAGCUGCCAAUAGUUCCUUGGGCUCCAGAGGCCGACUUUUGUCAGUUCAUUGUUAAGGAAGCUGAAAGUCCAAACAGUGUUUCACACUCCCCUGGGCUUGCAGAUGCCCAUCUUCUUCUGCUUGUCUUCCCACGGCCUUCCCCAUGCGCUUGAAGAGAUUCACAGUUCCUCUUCUGUUUGGACAUCAAGUUGUACUGGAUUAGAGACCGCCCUCAUCACCUCAUUACAACCUAAUCACCUCCCCUAUCUGAAACUGCCUGUGGGAACACACUCCUAUAAUGGAAGGCACUUCAAAAGUUGAAGCAAAAUGAUGAUGAAUUGCAGGCCAGUCAGGGCUGCAUUAUUGGGGGGUGGGCUUAAGGGAGGGCAACAGCGGCAGCAACAAAGACAGACACAGAAGACUGGAGAGAUAACACUUAAGGGCCAUGGUUAUUAGUGCAAAGUACUAAAGUUUGGAUCCCAACACACAUGUUAAGGCUCACAACUGCUCCAGCUCCAAGGGAUCCACAGCCCUCUUCUAGCCUCUAUGUACCGACACUUGCACCCAUAUGUAUAUACAUGUGAGGCCUGUAAUGCGUGUUAACACACACACACAUAUGUACACACACACACACCUGCUAGGUUCUCUAUCAACCAAUAUUUAGUAGCACUUAGAAGUGCUGGCUUUCACAGGUGUUCGCUCACACCCAGGUCUUAUGUCAACUUGGCACACAAACUAGUGUUACAUGAAAGGAGGGAACAGCAACUGAGAAAAUGCCUCCACAAGAUCCAGUUGUAAGACAUUUUCGUAAUUAGUGAUUGGUGGGGGAGGACUCAACCCAUUAUGAGUUGGUGGUCCUGGGCUGGUGGUCCUGGGUUCUGUAAGGAAGCAGGCUGAGCAAGCCAAGGGAUGCAAGUCAAUAAUCAGCACUCCUCCAUGGCUUCUGCAUCAGGUCCUGCAUCCAGGAUCCU